GCAGCAGUAGGGAAUCUUCCACAAUGGGCGAAAGCCUGAUGGAGCAACGCCGCGUGUGUGAUGAAGGCUUUAGGGUCGUAAAGCACUGUUGUAUGGGAAGAAAUGCUAGAAUUGGGAAUGAUUCUAGUUCGACGGUACCAUACCAGAAAGGGACGGCUAAAUACGUGCCAGCAGCCGCGGUAAUACGUAUGUCCCGAGCGUUAUCCGGAUUUAUUGGGCGUAAAGCGAGCGCAGACGGUUGAUUAAGUCUGAUGUGAAAGCCCGGAGCUCAACUCCGGAAUGGCAUUGGAAACUGGUUAACUUGAGUGUUGUAGAGGUAAGUGGAACUCCAUGUGUAGCGGUGGAAUGCGUAGAUAUAUGGAAGAACACCAGUGGCGAAGGCGGCUUACUGGACAACAACUGACGUUGAGGCUCGAAAGUGUGGGUAGCAAACAGGAUUAGAUACCCUGGUAGUCCACACCGUAAACGAUGAAUACUAGGUGUUAGGAGGUUUCCGCCUCUUAGUGCCGAAGCUAACGCAUUAAGUAUUCCGCCUGGG
rnacentral:rRNA from 1 species